CUUUUUUUUUUUUUUUUAGCUGGAGCUGCGCUGUCUGGAAGGUUUAAGGGACGCGGGGGGGGGACCCCGAAAAUCGUCUCCCCCCCCCGCCGGCGCGACAAAGCGGGGACACCCACCUGCACCCCGAUUUCGAGCCCCGAUUCCUGCCGUUCGUGGAGCCCCGGCGGGAGCAGCACAAAUGGCACCGCAAGAAGGCCUUUCUCCCCCCCCCCCCGGCGGCCUGGACCUCUCCAAGAUGGUGGCGUUCAUGGGGGGGGGAGGGGGGGAGCCCUUUCCCCCCCCGCCCCUCCCCCCAGCUUUCCGCCCUCCCCCCGCCCGCCCCCUCCUCCCCCCCCCCCGGAAGGGGAAGAGGAAGAGGAAGAGGAAGGAGCCCCUUCUUUCCCCCCCCCCCCCCUGGCCGACCCCAUGCUCCCCCCCACUUCCGACUCCGACUGAUUUUUUUUUUUUUUUUUUUUUUUUUUGG